GCUGGCGGCGUGCCUAACACAUGCAAGUACGCACGAAUGGUGGAGGGCUUGCUCUUCAUCGUUAGUGGCGGACGGGUGCGUAACACGUGAGCAACCUGCCUUCCGGUGGGGGAUAGCCGGCCUAACGGCCGGGUAAUACCGCGUACGACUUCGGGCUCGCAUGGGUCUGGAGUGAAAGCGGGCGCAAGCUCGCGCCGGAAGAGGGGCUCGCGACCUAUCAGCUUGUUGGUGAGGUAACGGCUCACCAAGGCGACGACGGGUAGCUGGUCUGAGAGGAUGAUCAGCCACAUUGGGACUGAGAUACGGCCCAGACUCCUACGGGAGGCAGCAGUGGGGAAUAUUGCGCAAUGGCCGCAAGGCUGACGCAGCGACGCCGUGUGUGGGAUGAAGGCCUUCGGGUUGUAAACCACUGUCA
rnacentral:rRNA from 1 species